CCGAAUUGUCGACACGAGUUGUUGCUGGCCCUCAAACGGGGGCAUGUGCACGCUCUGUUUGCAUCCACUCACACCUGUGCACCUUCUGUAGUUCUGUGGGCUGGGAGGCACCUGUCUUCCCUUCCGUGGUUCUACGUCUUUACACACACACUGUAACAUAGUCUUAUGGAAUGCACGCAGCGUUUAACGCAAUACAAUA
rnacentral:misc_RNA from 1 species